GGGUGUAGCAAUACACCAGUGGCGCACGGGUGAGUAACGCGUGGGAACGUGCCCUUCGGUACGGAACAACCUCGGGAAACUUGGGGCUAAUACCGUAUAAUGUCUUCGGACCAAAGAUUUAUCGCCAAAGGAUCGGCCCGCGUUGGAUUAGGUAGUUGGUGAGUGUAAAAGCUCACCAAGCCGACGAUCCAUAGCUGGUUUGAGAGGAUGAUCAGCCACACUGGGACUGAGACACGGCCCAGACUCCUACGGGAGGCAGCAGUGAGGAAUAUUGGACAAUUGGAGGAAACUCUGAUCCAGCCAUGCCGCGUGAGUGAAGAAGGCCUUCGGGUUGUAACAGCUCUUUUACCCCUGACGAUAAUGACGGUAAGUGGGAGAAAAAGCCACGGCUAACUUCGUGCCAGCAGACGUGGUAAUACGAAGUGUGGCAAGCGUUGUACGGAUUUACU
rnacentral:rRNA from 1 species